rnacentral:rRNA from 1 species
AACGAACGCUGGCGGCGCGUCUUACGCAUGCAAGUCGAACGGCAAGAGAGGAGCUUGCUUCUCUCCUAGAGUGGGGGACUGGUGAGGAACACGUGGGUAAUCUACCCUUAAGAUGGGGAUAGCUGCUAGAAAUAGCAGGUAAUACCGAAUACACUCGGCAUAUCACAAGAGGUGUUGAGGAAAGGAAGCUACGGCUUCGCUUGAGGAUGAGCUUGCGUCCCAUUAGCUAGUUGGUGAGGUAAAGGCCCACCAAGGCGACGAUGGGUAUCCGGCCUGAGAGGGUGAACGGACACAUUGGGACUGAGAUACGGCCCAAACUCCUACGGGAGGCAGCAGCUAAGAAUAUUCCGCAAUGGACGGAAGUCUGACGGAGCGACGCCGCGUGGAUGAAGAAGGCUGAAAAGUUGUAAAAUCCUUUUGUUGAUGAAGAAUAAGGGUGAGAGGGAAUGCUCAUCUGAUGACGGUAAUCGACGAAUAAGCCCCGGCUAAUUACGUG